AUGUCACUACUCCUAGAAGCCCUUUCCUGCACUUCCUGGCUCCUCAGGUUUCCUGCUUCAUCCUGCACCUGCCUUCUUGAAAGAAAAUAAGACAUCAGAUACUUAUUCAAAUAAUGGAAUAGCUGAUCAACUGGGUCUCCACACAAAAGAGAAUUUUGUUUAAAUGUAAGAACUGGAAAAGCACAGGUGACUGUUUAGCUUGGCCAUUUGCUGCUCCUACCUCAAAUAGAAGGUUGGAAUGCACUGGUGCACACAUCCAAUUUCAAUUUACAAAACUGGAAUUAAACCGUACACAAUGUACCUUUUAAAACUUAACAUUAUACUAAGUAUAUUUUGACACAUAAUUACACAUCCUUUGAAACUGCAUAUAAUUCCACCAUAGAGGUGUAUCAUAAUUUAUGAUUGGACAUUUUGAUUAAAAGCCAGCAAUAC
rnacentral:sRNA from 1 species